rnacentral:rRNA from 1 species
CCUACGGGGGGCAGCAGUUAAGAAUAUUCCGCAAUGGACGAAAGUCUGACGGAGCGACGCCGCGUGGAUGAAGAAUGCCGAAAGGUUGUAAAAUCCUUUUAAGCCUGAGGAAUAAGCACAGUAGGGAAUGAUUGUGUGGUGACUGUAGGGCUUGAAUAAGCACCGGCAAAUUACGUGCCAGCAGCCGCGGUAACACGUAAGGUGCGAGCGUUGUUCGGAAUUAUUGGGCGUAAAGGGCAUGUAGGCGGAUGAGCAAGCUUGGUGUGAAAUGCUACAGCUUAACUGUGGGACAGCAUUGAGAACUGCACAUCUUGAAUUACUGAAGGGUAACUAGAAUUCCACGUGUAGGGGUGAAAUCUGUAGAUAUGUGGAAGAAUACCAAUGGCGAAGGCAAGUUACCGGCAGAUAAUUGACGCUGAGGUGCGAAAGUGCGGGGAGCGAACAGGAUUAGAUACCCUGGUAGUC